UCAAUUUGUCAGAGAACUCAAAAGUCAUCUUUUCUAGCCCAUCCAGGUGGGAUUAAAAAACUUUUAGGCAAAAAGUGCAGGUAAGUGAUUGCCAGGAACUCAUCUUUGCUUGUCCAUUUCAGCAUGGUCUACUCUACAAGGUGUGAGACAUUUCUAUCUUGACCACAUUCAGUCCAAAGGCCCUCACUAUGCAUGGAAGAAACAAAACGAUAUAAAACAGUUCUUAUUCCUAGGAGCAGACAACUUACUUGGGGAAAACUCAUGAAUCAGAUCACAAGGAGGUAAUGGCUUGACGAUUUUCAGCUUCAACCCAGUAAUCAAGGAACUACCCUUCCUCUUACACUAGGGGGUGCGUGAGGACUAAGAUUCAGAAUCUUCUCGGCCAUCUUCUCCACAGUGAUUUGUGUCAGCUACUGCCCCCUUUCUUCAGAACUGGUUUUCCAGUGUCAUGACUUGGAAGAGGGAAAAGAAUUCCCGGAAACCUCCCCUACCUCACAAACCAGGCAUGUCCUCCACCGGGUUGCUCUGCCCUCUUCACCACGGGACAGGCACACCCUGACCUACCCACAGGGCGCAGCAUUUCUGGGGCAUCCUGCCCGGAACUGGGGACCCACAGAAGAAAAGAGAAGCACUGCUUUAAACACAGGACAGAUAUUACGAAGCAGCAUUUCUUAUAGAAGAAAAAGAAUACGAUGAUGCAAGAAACAUAAAAAGAAAAAAAGACCCAAAGCUAAAUAGUGCACUCAAUAGACACACAGUAAAUGCAGAUGGAUCACCAACAGUAGACUGGAGGCAUGCCUGUCACAGAAUAGGCUUCUUUUCCAUACAUUUAGAAAUUCAGGACUAGCUUCCUCAUCAUCAAUUUCUUGUGCAUUACUGUAUGAGCCACAUUCAUGGCACAGCCCCUUGGGUCCUAAAACACUCUGUCUUCAGCUUUGCUCUGUGUGAAGAGAGAAUUUCCACUCAGCUGAUUUGUCUGUGAACAAAUGAACAGGGCAUCGUUAGCAGCUCCUUGGUUAUAUUUUCUUUAGAUAGUCAAGAAGCAUAGUUCUUUCCUCCCAUCACAUGGGCUUUCAUUUCAUGAUGUAUUUUAUUGACAUCAAACAGAAAAAGAAGUUAGAUGACGUAUAUACUGUGUGUUCAUCCCCAAAUCUCUUCUCCCAUUUAUCCCUAGGAGAACACUGAAAUUGCCCAGUUAACUUCCCUGAGGCCAGAGACCCCUCAAGGGUUCCUCCGC
rnacentral:lncRNA from 1 species